rnacentral:lncRNA from 10 species
GGGCACCUUCCUGACCCACACGCUCACUGGGGCUCCAGACCCAGGCUCCCUAAAACAUGGGCCGAGACUCAUUGCAGGACCUCGGGUGCUUGGUAUCCGUGUCAUGUCUUCUCCUGCCGUCUACACCUGACUGUUCCUGAGUCUCGUUCACUGAGCGCCUGCCACGUGCCAGGCCCAGGGCUGGGUGUUGGGGGACGAGUACGUGGGGAGCGAACACGCGCAGAAAAUUACCCGGCAUUGAGCGUGUUAGUGCUUCUUGGGCUGAGUCCAUUAACUGAUGAGCAGAGGAAACGGGUAUGCAGGAGAUUAGAAGCCAGUGGGCAUGAGCGUGGCUGCCACCAGGUGAAUGCCUGUGCCCUGGCGUCCUGGGGCCCAGAGGACCGGGAGCUUCCAUCAAGAGGCUGCCUCCCAGCACCAAGGCCAGAGAGUGGCCAGGGGAGGCUAAGUACAGGGAUUUCUCAGAAUGGUGGAAGGAGCUCAGCCCAGCCUUGCCCAAGAUGUAUUGCAGGGGAAUCUGGACAUUUUAGCCAUACCAAGAAUCAUUAGAAGAUGCAAGCUGGAAAAAAGAAGGUCCCAGUUUUGGUUUUGAACCCUUCAUGUUGCAGCAAAUGUGAAUCUCCUACAGAUGGGUUUGGGGACUUACCUGUUCAAAUAGCAGCCCGGUGUCCUCUGUGGGUGGGGGGAGGUUUGUCUGUCCUUUCAUUCUAGUAAAUCCACCAUCCUCUGCACGAGAGCCAGGAGAAUCCACAUCACUUCAAAAGAGCCCCCAAAUCCUUACUACGUACUACAGCCUCCUUUCGAAUGUUCCUGGUUGAGAGGGAGAUCAAUUGCAUUAUUUACAAGUCAAAAAAUUUUGUAUCAAACUUCCUAUGAGCUUGGGCACUCAUGGCCUAUGGAGGCCCACCCAGACGCAGCCCCGCCAUCAUGCUUUUUCGUUGUUUUGUGGAUGUACCCAGGGCUAUUUACACACUCUUUCAUUAAAAGGCUUAUUUUUAUAUUUAAAAUGUUCUAAUCUUGGAGUGAAUUUUACUAAAUGCUAGUGUCCAAUCUGUUCCCCAACUGAAGUUAUCAGAGACAGAAUCCCUUUUAUAUUCAAGUGGAAAUUACUCAUUUUCUCUUGGGUUUUCAAUGUAUCGUCUGACUGUGAGGCUGGCAUUAUUUUCUCUGGGUUUGAAAGCUUCCUGAGAUGUCCUGUUUGUAAGCUC